rnacentral:tRNA from 1 species
CCUUCGAUAGCUCAGUUGGUAGAGCGGUGGACUGUAGAAAGUUCAGGAGGGGAGGGGCGAUCAAGUUGCCGCCCAAAAUGCGAUCAACUUAUAUCUCUCCAAUUCGUAAUUAUAGAAAUCCAUAGGUCACUGGUUCAAAUCCGGUUCGAAGGA